ACACCUCUAUCCAUUCACUAUUUUUUCUAGGACUCCUCUAACAAUUUCAUCUAACUCUAUUGAGCCUUCUUAUCUUUUCCCCUUGCCUUCGUUUUUGAGCAUGCAUGAGUCCAAGGAAGCAGCUAGCAUACCUAUUGAAGCAUUUCUAAGGUCAAGAACAAGCUGAGAGAAGGACAGUAGCUCAGAUUGACAUGCCUACCCCUAGUGCACCCAUGCCUCUACCUCCUUAACCUCAAUCCCUUCUGUCCACUAUCCCUUUUGCCACACACGUGAUGACUAUGAGCCACA
rnacentral:lncRNA from 1 species